rnacentral:tRNA from 1 species
AAUAAGAUAGGAUAAAAAGUCUAUAUGGUUCAUACCCUUAAGGUGGUUUCUCUUAUUA